GCCUGGGUGGCUCAGUCGGUUAGGCGUCUGACUUCGGCUCAGGUCACGAUCCUCAUGGUUUGUGGGUUUGAGCCCCGCGUCAGGCU
rnacentral:tRNA from 1 species